GUACCGUGCUCCUGAACUCUGUGGCUCCUUUUCCUCUAAGGUAUGCAUGUGCAAAUAAGUUUUUACCACAUGUUUGGUUUCUGGUCGUUGUUCUGAUUAAAAAUUCAGCUUAGGCUACCUCCUGAUAUCUUCUUUGGGAUUGUUUCAUGUCCUUAUUUUCCCUGAUCAAACUGUAUGUAUUUAAGGACAUCUAAGUUGGGUGUUUUAGAUUUGCCAUACCUGCAUUUGCUUUACUGCAGGAAUUUGUUGGAAAGAAAAGAAAUAAUAAUAGUGCAGGUAGUCUCUUUUCUGCAUUUGCACAAAUACCUGAAAAUGAAUACAAGCAAAAAUGUGUGGUCCCAAAGUGAUAAUUUGUCAUAGACAUGCCGUGUUGCAGAUAUUCCUGCAGUAAUGCUGCUAGAUCAUUGCUUUCCUGCAAAAAAAAAAUUGUAGUUACUGAGGUUGAAUCUUUGAAUUUCUAGUGCCUUUGGUUAUCAUAGGCUAUUUCACAUGAUGUUUGCUCACUUUUACUUUUGAUACCCUCCUUGUUGAGCUAGAAAGAUACUUGCAUUUUGUAAUAGUUACUUUAAGAGAGUUGGCCUUACCAUAGAUUAUGGUUUGAAAAUAAAUUUCCUCUACAGCCAUUGACAUGUAUGUUCUGAGCACUGCAAAUGACACUUACGUAUAAUUAAUUUCCAGUAGUGCAAUCCAUCAGAGGCACUCUACUGGAGCCUUAAUUGCUAGAUCAUUGUCAUCCAAUGCAAAAACAAUUCAAAGAAUUGCUUUUGUUUAGUGUAUGUUGGGACAUCUAUUAUUGAUUUGGAUUGUCUGAAUGCACUAAUAUAGCCUGUUCAUUUUCCUUUUGUAGAUUUAAUAGAAUUUGAUUGGCUAUAAUGACAAAUACAUGAGUUAUGACACCGUAUAAACUGAGCAGUGAUUUUGGCUGCAUUAUUUGAAAGUUCUAGAUUUUAUAGCCCAGUGACAGCAAUAAUUUGAUUUUGAGUGUGUUAUAAUGUGGCAUACCUUGGCUUUGUGACAAUGAUAUGUAAUUUCUGAGAUUUGAUGCGUUUUAUGUUCUAUUUUAUAUUUUCUUUUUAGUGAAGUUGAUACAUGCUAGCAAAGUCAAAACUCUGAAGCAAUUUAAAGGAACUACAUAACCUGUUAUCUUUAUACGUGAAUUUGGCUCAGAAAUCAUGCCAUUACCCUGUGUUUUUAUGCAUUCAUGGUUUGGACAGCAGAUUGAUCAACUGCACUGAUUUGCAUCUUGCUGUUUGUAUCAGUAUCUUCUGACACUUGAUUGUGUUUUCGUGGACCUAGGAGCUUUAGCGUGUUUUCAGUUGUACUAAUUGAUCUAUUUUGCACUGACUAGACCAUAAUUCAUUUGAGAUUUUCUGUAAACCAUUUUCUUGAAUUUAUGUUCUGCAGUACACCCCUGCUAUUGAUAUCU
rnacentral:misc_RNA from 1 species